rnacentral:misc_RNA from 1 species
CUAAGGAGCACUUCUCCACGACGCUUCACACAGGUGAAUGUGGUUGUGGCAGAGACCGUUUAGUUCCCAAUCGUGGAACUGCGGAAGCUCAUGGGUGGAACGCUGACAACCUCUCCCGCGUAUCGGUUGGUCCUCAGUGGCCGGCUGGUGGGUGAUGUAUCGACACACUGUUGGGUCCUGAAAGAACAGACGUUCUUUCCAGGCAAAAAAGACGACGAGGCUGAUCUUCAGUCAUACCGGCUUCUUCCCUUUGGGGCUGGGGUGCUGGUACUGAGUUCGAGGUUGGUCUUGUGUGUUGUUUGAGAACUGCACAGUGGACGCGAGCAUCUUUGUUAGUAAGUGCGUAAGAGCGUAC